GCCUCCCUCUUUCUUCGUGCUUAACACAUGCAAGUCGAACGGAAAGGCCUGCUUUCCCUUGUGGAUUGCGGGUACUCGAGUGGCGAACGGGUGAGUAACACGUGAGUGAUCUGCCCCCAACUUGGGUAUAAGCCUGGGAAACUGGGUCUAAUUCCCGAUAGGACUGCAGGGUGGUGCCUGUGGUGGAAAACGAUUUUCUAGUGGUUGGGGAUGAGCUCGCGGCCUAUCAGCUUGUUGGUGGGGUAAUGGCCAACCAAGGCGGCGACGGGUAGCCGGCCUGAGAGGGUGGACGGCCACAUUGGGACUGAGAUACGGCCCAGACUCCUACGGGAGGCAGCAGUGGGGAAUAUUACACAAUGGGCGGAAGCCUGAUGCAGCGACGCCGCGUGGGGGAUGACGGCCUUCGGGUUGUAAACUCCUUUCGACCGCGAGGAAGCCACCUGGUUGGAAGGGUGGUGACGGUAGUGGUAGAAGAAGCACCGGCUAACUACGUG
rnacentral:rRNA from 1 species